CCGAACUUAGUUAUAGCUGGUUGCCUAAGAAAUGAAUAGAAGUUCAGCCUCGCACUCCUCAACUCACAAACACAUUAUUUAAAACACGAAUUAGAGAAACACGCGAGAGUUAAUCAAAGGGGGUACAGCCCCUUUGAAACAGAAUACAACCUCACCAGGAGGUUAAAGAUUAUAUUAAAUAAGAUACACCGCUUUAGUGGGCCUAAAAGCAGCCAUCUAAACAGAAAGCGUUAAAGCUCCUGCGGAUUAAAAAUCUAUUAUACAAAUACCUCAUCUAAAACCCCUAAUUCUAUUAGGCCAUCCCAUGCCCCCAUGGAAGAGACACUGCUAAAAUGAGUAAUAAGAAGGAACACCCUUCUCCAAAGCCUACGUGUAUGCUAGACCGGACCCACCACUAGCAAUUACCGAACCCAACAAAAGAGGGCAAUGUGGCAUUACUAAACACCAAGAAAUACCCACAACCCAAAUCGUUAAACCCACACCGGAAGGCUACUUAAAGGAAAGACUAAAAGAAGAGGAAGGAACUCGGCAAACACAAGCCUCGCCUGUUUACCAAAAACAUCGCCUCCUGCAAAACUCAAUAUAUAGGAGGUCUUGCCUGCCCAGUGACUAGU
rnacentral:rRNA from 1 species